AAGCAAAUACUCCAAAAAAACAACAAUCAAAAGAUGUAUUACCCGGUAUUCCGUCUUUUGAUUUGGGUGUUUUAACACCUAAAUCACCACCCAAAAACCAACAAUCUCUCCAUGCAAGUGAAAAAAUAGAGGUCGUGCAUCUCCAAGACAAAUCCGUGCUGAAAUGCGAAGCAAGCAUUUGCACAAUGUUGAUGCUACCGGAGUAGAAAAAGAAGUCGACAAAC
rnacentral:lncRNA from 1 species